rnacentral:rRNA from 1 species
AAAGGUGGCCUCUUCUAUGCUGCCGGGUUGGGAUCGGCCCGCGUCCCAUUAGCUAGUUGGUGAGGUAACGGCUCACCAAGGCCACGAUGGGUAGCCGGCCUGAGAGGGUGUACGGCCACACUGGCACUGAGACAAGGGCCAGUCCCCUAUGGGAGGCGCAGGCGGGAAUAGUUCACAAUGGGCGAAAGCCUGAUGACGCGACGCCGCGUGAGCGAAGAAGGACCUUCGGGUUGUAAAGCUCUGUCAGGAGGGAAGAAGGCUCUACGGGUUAAUAGCCCGUGGAAUUGACGGUACCUCCAGAGGAAGCCCCGGCUAAAUACGUGCCAGCAGCCGCGGUAAUACGUAUGGGGCAAGCGUUGUCCGGAUUUACUGGGCGUAAAGGGCGCGUAGGCGGUUUGUUAAGUCGAAGGUGAAAUCCUCGGGCUCAACUCGAGAAUUGCCUUCGAUACUGGCAAACUAGAGUGGCGGAGAGGAAAGCGGAACUCUUGGUGUAACGGUGGAAUGUGUAGAUAUCAAGAGGAACACCGGUGGCGAAGGCGGCUUUCUGGACGCACACUGACGCUCAGGCGCGAAAGCGUGGGUAGCAAACAGGAUUAGAUACCCUGGUAGUCCACGCCAUAAACGAUGGGUACUAGGUGUCGGGGGUAUCGACCCCUCCGGUGCCGCAGUUAACGCACUAAGUACCCCGCCUGGGGAUUAUGGUCGCAAGGCUGAAACUCAAAGGAAUUGACGGGGCCCCGCACAAGCGGUGGAGCAUGUGGUUUAAUUCGACGCAACGCGAAGAACCUUACCUGGAUUAGAAAUCAAGUGGACGAUCUGCAGAGAUGUAGAUUUUCAUCUUCGGAUGACUGCUUGACAGGUGCUGCAUGGCUGUCGUCAGCUCGUGUCGUGAGAUGUUGGGUUAAGUCCCGCAACGAGCGCAACCCCUGUCUCCUGUUGCCAUCAUUAAGUUGGGAACUCUGGAGAGACUGUCGGUGUUAAACCGGAGGAAGGUGGGGAUGACGUCAAGUCCUCAUGGCCUUUGAUGUCCAGGGCUACACACGUACUACAAUGGUCGGUACAAACCGUUGCCAACCCGUGAGGGGGAGCCAAUCGGAAAAAACCGGCCCCAGUUCAGAUUGGAGGCUGCAACUCGCCUCCAUGAAGGUGGAAUCGCUAGUAAUCGCGGAUCAGCAAGCCGCGGGACUACGUUCUCGGGCAUUGUACACACCGCCCGUCACACCACGAAAGCAGGUUGGACCUGAAGUC